rnacentral:rRNA from 1 species
UACGUAGGGUGCAAGCGUUAUCCGGAUUCACUGGGUUUAAAGGGUGUGUAGGCGGGCAGUUAAGUCAGUGGUGAAAUCUCCGGGCUCAACCCGGAAACUGCCAUUGAUACUAUCUGUCUUGAAUUUUGUUGAGGUAGGCGGAAUAUGUCAUGUAGCGGUGAAAUGCAUAGAUAUGACAUAGAACACCAAUUGCGAAGGCAGCUUACUAAGCAAAUAUUGACGCUGAGGCACGAAAGCGUGGGGAUCAAACAGG